AGGACUUUUCUCUUUGAUGUAAAAGGGAGAGAAUUUGAUUGGUGGGUCCUCUCUGAAAGCAGACAUUAUUUAGCUCAUAAAAAACUUUGAAGAUGGCAGUAUUAUUUCCUUCUGCUUAUACAUUAAUUUCACCAAUUCCUACAUUUUAUAAUAUCAUACAGAACCAAAGCGUGGGACAACUUCAUCCCUAUCCGUACAUUGCUACAGUGCUUAAUUGUCUUCUUUGGAUGCUAUAUGCCAUGCCGUUUGUGCAUUCAAAUAACUUGUUGGUACUUACAGUCAAUCCGUGUGGAUUGCUUUUCCAAUUUAUCUACUUAGCCAUUUUCUACGUCUACACCAACAACAUAGGCGAGGUAUAUUUAGAUCAUUAUAACUUUUUAAUUAAGAU